rnacentral:rRNA from 1 species
AUUAAACGCUGGCGGCAUGCCUUACACAUGCAAGUCGAACGGCAGCACGGGGGCAACCUUGGUGGCGAGUGGCGAACGGGUGAGUAAAGCAUCGGAACGUGCCCUGGAGUGGGGGAUAACGUAGCGAAAGUUACGCUAAUACCGCAUAUUCUGUGAGCAGGAAAGCAGGGGAUCGCAAGACCUUGCGCUCUGGGGAGCGGCCGAUGUCGGAUUAGCUAGUUGGUGGGGUAAAGGCCUACCAAGGCGACGAUCCGUAGCGGGUCUGAGAGGAUGAUCCGCCACACUGGGACUGAGACACGGCCCAGACUCCUACGGGAGGCAGCAGUGGGGAAUUUUGGACAAUGGGCGAAAGCCUGAUCCAGCCAUGCCGCGUGAGUGAAGAA